AAAGCUUGCAGUAGCAUCAUCAUCAUCUCUGUCUCCUUCCUCACGAGCUUCAUGUCGUAGAUGAGGUCGCAACCGAGGUUUGCAUCACGGAUGCCGUCGACGGUGGGCAUACAUGUUGUGGCGGAAGCUCAUUGCAUAUUGUAGGUUGAACUCAUGCUUUUGUUUGUUAACUCUUGUUGCAUAUGUACACAUGUUGUGAACCCUCCUUGAAUAUGUAUGUGUGUUUUUGUGAAACUA